UACGAGAGGCCCAAACGUUAUUCGGAUUUACUGGGCUUAAAGAGUUCGUAGGCGGCGCGGAAAGUAGGGUGUGAAAGCCCUCGGCUCAACCGAGGAAUUGCGCCCUAAACUGUCGCGCUCGAGGAACCUAGAGGUGAGCAGAACUGAUGGUGGAGCGGUGAAAUGCGUUGAUAUCAUCAGGAAUACCGGAGGCGAAGGCGGCUCACUGGGGGGUUAUCUGACGCUGAGGAACGAAAGCCAGGGGAGCAAACGGG
rnacentral:rRNA from 1 species